rnacentral:rRNA from 1 species
GAUGAACGCUGGCGGCGUGCCUAAUACAUGCAAGUCGAGCGAACGGACGAGAAGCUUGCUUUUCUGAUGUUAGCGGCGGACGGGUGAGUAACACGUGGAUAACCUACCUAUAAGACUGGGAUAACUUCGGGAAACCGGAGCUAAUACCGGAUAAUAUUUUGAACCGCAUGGUUCAAAAGUGAAAGACGGUCUUGCUGUCACUUAUAGAUGGAUCCGCGCUGCAUUAGCUAGUUGGUAAGGUAACGGCUUACCAAGGCAACGAUGCAUAGCCGACCUGAGAGGGUGAUCGGCCACACUGGAACUGAGACACGGUCCAGACUCCUACGGGAGGCAGCAGUAGGGAAUCUUCCGCAAUGGGCGAAAGCCUGACGGAGCAACGCCGCGUGAGUGAUGAAGGUCUUCGGAUCGUAAAACUCUGUUAUUAGGGAAGAACAUAUGUGUAAGUAACUGUGCACAUCUUGACGGUACCUAAUCAGAAAGCCACGCUAACUACGUG